AAAUAAGAAAAAAAUAAUUAACAUUAAUUUCAAUUUUUAAGCAAGAAUUGAAAAAAAAUAUAUGCUAAAAUAUUUAAGGAAAAAUUUGUUUGGUAGAGAAUUUAACACAUAAAAGACAAUUUGGAGAGUUUUACUGCUGCUAUACAACAACAUGUAUCUUACUGUGAAACAGAUUGCAUGAACGAAGUGGAUGUGAAAAAAAUGCUAUUUGUACCACUGUCAUUGUUAACUAUACAUGUAUUAUAAAUUAAAUGCCAGGUUAAUAUUAAUCAAAUCAUAAUUUUUGUGUUUUAGAAAUAAUAUCACUUUCUAAAGCUAAACUUUCUAAACACUUGCAUCAUUGCCUAGUCGGUCAAUAAUUGCAUUUGGGAUAAAGGCCUAAAAUUAUGUCCUGAUAUUUACAUGUGCAGCUACCUUUGUUGCAAAUAGCAUUUACACUAUUAAUAAUGAGGGUGAAAAAAGCUACACCAUAAGCAAUGCAUCAGAAGCAGAACUCAGAUUAUAGACAUCAUGACCACUGAUAUAUGCUAUAAUAUUUUUUAACUUCCUACAGAAAUAGUGUAUUUCUGUGUCUCUCACUGUCUCUCAUAGCUGCUACCUUGCAGCUAGAACAUGAUACAAGGCAUGGGUUUCCAAAGGUUGCUUUAAAAAUUAACCAGCAAGUUGCAAUAAUUUCUAGUGAAAAGACAAAAUCUAACAUUAACUCUAAAUGAAUGCAUAAAAUUGACAAAUUAGAUUUGGCCAUUGUGAACUGAGACGCUUCAAUUAAAUACUUCCUCCUUAAUUUGCAUAAAUUUUUAUGCUGCAACAUGUUUUGGCAUAUUUUUCCCUCUUCUUUUCCUCUUGAUACAUUUCUUAUUGCCAAUGUAAAAUUUAUUUCCUUUUUCAGGUGGCAUAAGGAAGAGGGGAACUUGAAUGUGGAGAAGGGCAGUUCUGGCAAUAAGAUGAAAUGGGCAGAAAAAACUUUCUUUUAAUAAAUGUUCUACCAUAAAGGCAGAGUUAUUAAGAAAACAUAAUUUGGUCUUGUUAACCUCAGUUACCUGGACUGACCUGAUGGAACAGCAGACAACAUAAGUUGUAAGAUUUGCAUAAAUCACAAUGUUUCAAGUCAAGUCAGUUUUUGUUCUGCACCUCAUCCUAAU
rnacentral:lncRNA from 1 species